GGCGAACGCUGGCGGCGUGCUUAACACAUGCAAGUCGAACGGAAAGGCCCUGCUUUUGUGGGGUGCUCGAGUGGCGAACGGGUGAGUAACACGUGAGUAACCUGCCCUUGACUUUGGGAUAACUUCAGGAAACUGGGGCUAAUACCGGAUAGGAGCUCCUGCUGCAUGGUGGGGGUUGGAAAGUUUCGGCGGUUGGGGAUGGACUCGCGGCUUAUCAGCUUGUUGGUGGGGUAGUGGCUUACCAAGGCUUUGACGGGUAGCCGGCCUGAGAGGGUGACCGGCCACAUUGGGACUGAGAUACGGCCCAGACUCCUACGGGAGGCAGCAGUGGGGAAUAUUGCACAAUGGGCGGAAGCCUGAUGCAGCAACGCCGCGUGCGGGAUGACGGCCUUCGGGUUGUAAACCGCUUUCGCCUGUGACGAAGCGUGAGUGACGGUAAUGGGUAAAGAAGCACCGGCUAACUACGUGCCAGCAGCCGCGGUGAUACGUAGGGUGCGAGCGUUGUCCGGAUUUAUUGGGCGUAAAGGGCUCGUAGGUGGUUGAUCGCGUCGGAAGUGUAAUCUUGGGGCUUAACCCUGAGCGUGCUUUCGAUACGGGUUGACUUGAGGAAGGUAGGGGAGAAUGGAAUUCCUGGUGGAGCGGUGGAAUGCGCAGAUAUCAGGAGGAACACCAGUGGCGAAGGCGGUUCUCUGGGCCUUUCCUGACGCUGAGGAGCGAAAGCGUGGGGAGCGAACAGGCUUAGAUACCCUGGUAGUCCACGCUGUAAACGGUGGGUACUAGGUGUGGGGUCCAUUCCACGGGUUCCGUGCCGUAGCUAACGCUUUAAGUACCCCGCCUGGGGAGUACGGCCGCAAGGCUAAAACUCAAAGGAAUUGACGGGGCCCCGCACAAGCGGCGGAGCAUGCGGAUUAAUUCGAUGCAACGCGUAGAACCUUACCUGGGUUUGACAUGGAUCGGGAGUGCUCAGAGAUGGGUGUGCCUCUUUUGGGGUCGGUUCACAGGUGGUGCAUGGCUGUCGUCAGCUCGUGUCGUGAGAUGUUGGGUUAAGUCCCGCAACGAGCGCAACCCUUGUUCACUGUUGCCAGCACGUUAUGGUGGGGACUCAGUGGAGACCGCCGGGGUCAACUCGGAGGAAGGUGGGGAUGACGUCAAGUCAUCAUGCCCCUUAUGUCCAGGGCUUCACGCAUGCUACAAUGGCUGGUACAGAGAGUGGCGAGCCUGUGAGGGUGAGCGAAUCUCGGAAAGCCGGUCUCAGUUCGGAUUGGGGUCUGCAACUCGACCUCAUGAAGUCGGAGUCGCUAGCAAUCGCAGAUCAGCAACGCUGCGGUGAAUACGUUCCCGGG
rnacentral:rRNA from 1 species